UACGUAGGGGGCUAGCGUUGUCCGGAUUUAUUGGGCGUAAAGAGCUCGUAGGCGGCUCGGUAAGUUGGGUGUGAAACCUCCAGGCUCAACCUGGAGACGCCACCCGAUACUGCCGUGGCUUGAGUCCGGUAGGGGAUCACGGAAUACCUGGUGUAGCGGUGAAAUGCGCAGAUAUCAGGUGGAACACCGAUGGCGAAGGCAGCUCGCUGGGACGGUACUGACGCUGAGGCGCGAAAGCGUGGGGAGCAAACAGG
rnacentral:rRNA from 1 species